rnacentral:rRNA from 1 species
GAUGAACGCUGGCGGCGUGCUUAACACAUGCAAGUCGAACGAUGAAGCCCAGCUUGCCGGGUGGAUUAGUGGCGAACGGGUGAGUAACACGUGAGUAACCUGCCCUUAACUCUGGGAUAAGCCUGGGAAACUGGGUCUAAUACCGGAUAGGAGCGUCCACCGCAUGGUGGGUGUUGGAAAGAUUUAUCGGUUUUGGAUGGACUCGCGGCCUAUCAGCUUGUUGGUGAGGUAAUGGCUCACCAAGGCGACGACGGGUAGCCGGCCUGAGAGGGUGACCGGCCCCCGGGGGCCGGACACCCGCCCCGCCCCCCGCCGGGGGGCGGCGGGGGGGAAUUUUCAAAAGGGGCCGCACGCCUGUUGCGGCGCCGCCGGGGGGGGAAGGCGGGCUUUGGGUUUGAACCCUUUUUGCGGUGGGAAAGAAGGAAAAGUGGCGUCCCCUGAAGAAGAAGCCCCGCCCAACUCCGUC